UUAGUGCUAAUAGAGAUUUUAGAAAUAAUCUUUUCUUCCCUUGUGUUGUCUAAAUGAAGAAAUCUAGGCCCAGAGAGAUGAAGUGGCGGGAUCCAUGCAUCCAAACCCCCAGCUUUGUGUCUUACCCUCUCUAUCCUGUUGUCUUGCCAGGGCAUGGAAGGUGAUAUAGGAGGGAUGCUGCAUUUACAGGAGUAUAACUUCUAACCCUUAUCUCAUCCCACAUUGCAGAACAUUGAACUUGAAUAGAAGCGGACUUCUUAAAGUGAAGAUUUUCUCUUUUUUAUCACUGACAGAUCCUCACAAUGAAAAACAACAAAGUGGGAUUUGUACUUGUGUCCAGUACUCCUUCAAAUGCAGGCUGUGCCCUAAAGCAAGACCAACUUCUGUGUCACUCAAUGUCUUCAUCAGAACAAGAUGGCAGCAUAGAAGCAACAAGAAUUUCAGAUGUAUAGACAAUAUAAGCAAAUAGAGGGAUUCUCAAGGAUCCUGAGGGCAGUCAGCCCUAAAAAAAUACCGGAGUUGCUGUUGAUUUGGCAAAAUUGAGCUAUUAUAGGUUGGGUACUAAGGGAAAUAUGAUAUUGGCACACAUUAACAGGGCCAAGAACAUGAUGAUAAAGCAUAUAUUAUUUGUAGUCUUUGGAAGACUAUUUCAGUGCAUAUUAUGCACAUCCUACAAUUUAAGAAACAGACAUUUGUAGAGGUUAAUAAAUUGUCCGAGGUUGCCA
rnacentral:lncRNA from 12 species